rnacentral:rRNA from 1 species
CCUACGGGGUGCAGCAGUCGAGAAUUAUUCACAAUGGGGGAAACCCUGAUGGUGCGACGCCGCGUGGGGGAAUGAAGGUCUUCGGAUUGUAAACCCCUGUCAUGUGGGAGCAAAUUAAAAAGAUAGUACCACAAGAGGAAGAGACGGCUAACUCUGUGCCAGCAGCCGCGGUAAUACAGAGGUCUCAAGCGUUGUUCGGAAUCACUGGGCGUAAGGCGUGCGUAGGCUGUUUCGUAAGUCGUGUGUGAAAGGCGCGGGCUCAACCCGCGGACGGCACAUGAUACUGCGAGACUAGAGUAAUGGAGGGGGAACCGGAAUUCUCGGUGUAGCAGUGAAAUGCGUAGAUAUCGAGAGGAACACUCGUGGCGAAGGCGGGUUCCUGGACAUUAACUGACGCUGAGGCACGAAGGCCAGGGGAGCGAAAGGGAUUAGAUACCCGGGUAGUC